rnacentral:rRNA from 1 species
UGGGGAAUAUUGCGCAAUGGGCGAAAGCCUGACGCAGCGACGCCGCGUGAGGGAUGAAGGCUCUCGGGUCGUAAACCUCUGUCAGAAGGGAAGAAGUGCAUGCGUGCUAAUCAGCGCAUGUUUGACGGUACCUUCAGAGGAAGCACCGGCUAACUCCGUGCCAGCAGCCGCGGUAAUACGGAGGGUGCAAGCGUUAAUCGGAAUCACUGGGCGUAAAGCGCGCGUAGGCGGCGAUGUAAGUCAGAGGUGAAAUCCCACGGCUCAACCGUGGAACUGCCUUUGAAACUGCAUUGCUUGAGUUUGUGAGAGGAUAGCGGAAUUCCAGGUGUAGGAGUGAAAUCCGUAGAGAUCUGGAGGAACAUCAGUGGCGAAGGCGGCUAUCUGGCACAAUACUGACGCUGAGGUGCGAAAGCGUGGGGAGCAAACA